AGAGAUCAGGUUCGAAGGGGUAGUACUUUACUCUCGACCAUUGCUUCCUCUUCUCAUAUGAGGGUGGUCCAUGUGAGUCCCACCAUUAAGCCCACCUUCAUGGGAGAAAAAAGACUCCCAACUAUCUAAUAAUUUUCCGGUUCAAGUCCCUUUAACUUUAUGUACCCCAAAAUUAAAUUUGCGUCAAAAAGUCAAGAACACUACAGUCUGCACUAGUCAGAACCAUGGAAGAUCACAACGACGACGCCAUUUCCAGUUCCGAAGCUUCGAGGCUCCGGUGGCACGUGUUCUUGAGCUUCAGAGGCGAAGACACACGCUACCCCUUCAUAAACAACCUCAACACCUCGCUCCACAACAAAGGCAUACGAGCUUUUCGCGACGACGAUGGGUUGCGCCGCGGAGACGAGAUCGCUCCGACUCUACUCGACGCGAUAGAGGAGUCCGCGGCUUCCAUCGUCGUCAUCUCCCAAAACUACGCGUCGUCGAGGUGGUGCCUAGAGGAGCUUUCGAAGAUAUGCGAGUGUAAGAGGCUUAUUCUCCCUGUGUUCUACCUAGUCGACCCCUCGGAUGUUCGGAAACAAAGAGGACCCUUCUUCGGAAAACAUUUUAGGGAGCAUGAAGAGAAGGGAAUUGAGAAGGAAAAGGUGACGAAGUGGAGGGAAGCCAUGGAAACAGCUGGUGGAAAAGCUGGUUUUGUUUUCCAAGACAAAGACAAAGACAGCAAUGAGGCACAAGCAAAGUUGAUUCAACUUUUAGUCAAAAGGGUAUUGGAAGAACUAGACAGUACCCCACUGGAUGUGGCUCCAUAUACAGUAGGACUCGAUUCUCGUAUUGAAAAACUGAAGAGCUUGUUAGAUGUUAGAUCCAAUGGCGUUCGAGUUUUGGCAUUACAUGGGAUGGGUGGGGUUGGUAAGACCACACUUGCUAAAGCUCUUUACAAUAAACUUGUUGGUAGCUUUGAGUGCCUCGUUUUCAUGAAAAAUGAUAGAGAAAAUUCUGAAACAGAUGAUGAUUUAGUGUACCUUCAAAACAAACUUGUCAAUCAUCUUUCUCCUGGUAAGCCUCCUGUGUAUAGGAUUGAUUCUGGUAUCUCUGCAAUCAAAGCCAUGGUUCAUGAGAAGCAAGUUCUUGUUAUUUUGGAUGAUAUUCGCAAUGUAAGACAGCUUGAAGUGCUAGUCGGGAGAGAUUGGUUUUCUGAAGGGAGUAGAAUUAUUAUUACCACAAGAGACAGUGAAGUUUUACCCAAGCAUCUUGUGAAUGAGUUUUAUGAGGUCAUAGAGUUGGCCCCCGCUGAGGCGCUACAACUUUUUAGCUACCAUGCACUAAGAAGAGAGAAACCCACAGAAAGAUUUAUGAAUCUAUCCAAGAAAAUGGUCUCUCUUACAGGAGGUCUACCAUUGGCCCUGGAAGUAUUUGGUUCUUUUUUGUUUGAAAGGUGGAGAAUAGAGGAAUGGAAGGAUGCUUUGCAAAAAUUGGAAAGGAUUCGUCCUCGCAAUCUUCAGGAUGUAUUGAAGAUAAGUUAUGAUGGGUUAGAUGUACAAGAACAAUGUAUAUUCCUUGACCUUGCAUGUUUAUUCAUUAAAAAGGAAAUUGAGAGAGAGGAUAUACUUGAUGCAUUGAAAGGUUGCGGUUUUAGGGCUGAGAUAGCAAUUACAGUGCUCAGAGCAAGAUCACUUAUUAAGGUUUUUGAGGACAAUUCUUUGUGGAUGCACGAUCAGAUUAGAGACAUGGGAAGACAAAUUGUUCUAGAUGAAAGUCCUGUAUAUCCUGGUAUGCGUAGUAGACUGUGGGAUCGUGAUGAAAUCAUGACAGUCUUAAAGGGUGAGAAGGGAACAAGACGUAUUGAAGGAAUUGUCCUAGACUUUCAAAGGAGGCCCAUUGUUCAGGAUGCAAGUGGUGAGAGAAUUUCUUGGGAAAACCUUCUAAGAACACCCAAUUUCACCUCUGCAUUAACUUAUGCGAAAGAAAGGUAUAAGAAAUUUCUUCAGGAUAAUGCUGAGAAAGAAAGAGAGGUAGUACUUUGCACUAAGCCAUUUGAAUCAAUGGUUAAUCUAAGACUUCUUCAAAUCAACCAUGUGAGAUUGGAAGGGAAGUAUAAAUAUCUUCCAGCUGGACUGAAGUGGCUACAGUGGAAAGGAUGUCCUUUGAAAGCUCUUCCUUCUGAAUUUCUUCCUCGAGAACUUUCUGUUCUUGAUCUCUCCGAAAGCAGAAUUGAGCAAGUGUGGGGUUGGUAUAGUAACAAUGUGGCUGAGAAGUUGAUGGUUAUUAAACUCCGCAAUUGCUACAAUCUAGCUGAUAUUCCCAAUUUAUCUGGGCACCAAAACUUGGAAAAGCUUGUUCUUGAAGGUUGCUGUAGACUUACUAAGAUUCAUGAAUCAAUUGGGAACAUAAGUACAUUACGUCAUUUGAACAUGAGAGAUUGUUCAAACCUUAUCGAAUUUCCUACUGAUAUCUCAGGGCUGAAACAUCUUGAAAACCUUGUCCUCUCUGGCUGCUCAAAGUUGAAAAGGUUACCAAAUGACCUACGUAGCUUGAAGUGUUUGAAAGAAUUUCUUCUUGACGAAACUGCUAUAGAGGAGCUGCCUACAUUCAUUUACCACCUAACAAAACUUGAAAAGCUUAGUUUGAAAAGAUGCCAAUUUUUGACAACACUACCUGAGUGCAUUGGACAUCUGUGCUCCCUGAAAGAACUCUCUCUUAAUCAUUCUGCUAUUAAGGAAAUACCUGAUUCUGUUGGAUCUUUAUCAGACCUUGAGAUACUAAGUUUGAUAGGGUGCAAAUCAUUCACCACAAUUCCUGAUUCUGUUGGCAAUCUCAAGUCUUUGACAGAACUUCUAAUUUAUGGUAGUGCAAUUGUAGUACUGCCUCCCUCUAUUGGCUCGUUAUCAUUUUUGAAGGUCAUCUGUUGGAAAAUGUCUGUCUCUGAUUGAAUUGCCUGAUUCAAUUGAAGGACUAGGUUCUCUGGUUGAGAUUAAUUUAGAUUGGACAUCAAUCACACAGCUACCAAAUCAGGUAGGUGAUUUGAAAAUGCUAAGGAAGCUUGAGAUGUGGAACUGUAAAAAUCUUAAAUUUUUACCAGAAUCAAUUGGAAGCAUGCUGGCUCUUAUGACUUUGAACAUAUCUAAUGCCAAAAUUUCUGAAUUGCCAGAAUCCAUAGGGAUGCUGGAAAAUCUUAUUACAUUAAGAUUGAGUAAUUGUACACAGCUCUAUAAACUUCCAGCAUCGAUAGGAAAUUUGAAGUCUUUACAGCGGUUGCUGAUGGGAGAAACUGCUGUGGCAGAAUUGCCUGAAAGCUUUGGGAAGCUCUCGAGCUUAAUGAUAUUAGAAAUGCCUAAGAAGCCUUAUUUUGAGUUACCUAGAAACAGUGUGCCUAAUUCUACAGUACUUCCAACUUCUUUCUCCAAUUUAUGCUCGCUAAAAGAACUAAAUGCUCGUGCUUGGAAACUAUGUGGGAAGAUUCCUGAUGAUUUUAAAAAGUUGUCAUCAUUGGAGAUUUUGAAUCUAGGCCACAAUAAUUUUUUCAGUCUCCCAUCCAGCUUGAUGGACCUUUCCAAGCUCAAAAAACUUUUAUUGCCCAACUGCGAAGAGCUCAAGUCUCUCCCUCCGCUUCCCUCAAGCUUGUUGGAGGUGAAUGUUGCAGACUGUCCUGCUUUGGAAAGGGUGUCUGAUCUUUCAAACUUGGAAAGCUUAGAGGAGCUGAACCUUACAAACUGUGAGAUGGUGGUGGAUAUUCCAGGCCUCGAAUGCUUGAAGUCCUUGAGAAGGUUGUACAUGAGUGGGUGCAAAACAUGCUCAUCUGUGGUUAAAAGAAGACUUUCUAAGGUUUCUUUGAGGAAUAUGUUCUCUCUUAGCAUGCCUGGAAGCAAAAUUCCAGAUUGGUUUUCUCAAGAGGUAGUUAAAUUUUCAGAACGCAAAAACCUUAGGAUCAAAGGUGUGAUAAUAGGUGUUAUUGUCUCUUUCAGCCAUCAAAUACCAGAUAACUUAAGAGAUCAAGACCCUUUACUAACAGGUAUACGAGCAAAUAUUGUCAAACUGAAUAGACCUGUGUUCAAUGCAAUGCUGGACAUAAAGGGAGUUCCAAAGACACAUGAAGACCAUCUUUACUUGUCUCGGUUUCCAGAUUGGCAUCCGUUAUCUUUUUCGUUGAAAGAUGAUUAUAAGAUACAUGUAACAAUAGACGACCCACCCUACAUUGAGGGACUCAAGCUGAAAAAGUGGGGGGUUCAUUUGGUUUUUGAAGGUGAUGAUGAUUAUGAUGGAAAUGAAGAAUCGUUGGAUGAAACCCAACUGUCCAUUUCUGAAAAACUAGCCAAGUUUUUCAGCUUUCUUGAAGAGGAAGAAGAUCACAUCCCCGAAUCAGGCUUUGAAGUUGAAAGCCAAGUGCAAGAGAUUGAGGAACAAGAAGAAAUUGAAAGAGAGCCUCAUUGGUGGCAAUUUUUGUGGCUUUUUCGAAGGUGCUUCUGCUUUUGAAGGAGGAGAAGCUACCUGCAAGGCUGCAGCCCCUUCGAAGUUGCAACCGAAGCAGAUACAACUUGAAGUCUAUCUUUAUUUUCUAUCUUUAUUUUCAGCUGUCAUUGUUAACUUUAUUUAUUAUUCUAUUACACAACCUGUUACACACUUUUUUUUUUAAUUGAAAUUGUGAGUUGAAGAUACAAUUUCCAACUUGAAAAUGUGUUUUCAACUCACAAUUUCAGUUGUUACACACUUUUUUGAUCUGAAAUUGUGAGUUAAAGAUACAAAUUUUGACUUGAGAUUGCCUUAUCAAUUUACAAUUUCAAUUAAAAAAGAAGUGUAAUAGUGUGUGUAAAACUGUGUAUAUAAUACCACUACGCACUCUUUUCAAUUUA